CCUGCACACUGUGUAAGAACUUUAAAAGACUUUUAAAGGGAGAAACAUCAGGGAAUGAUGGAAUUGGCUUAUAGAUAGAGUAAAAUUUGCAAAUUGCUCCACUUAUGAGCAUAUGUGUGCAGGGAGAGAGGAAUAGGAGACAUCCUUGCAUUACAAGAUAUGUUCAGGGCAUAAGAUGCUCUUCUUGUAGAAACUGUCUAUCACGUGUAUGUAAAGUGCUAUGCAAUCUAGUUACU